UUUUUUUUUUUUUGGUAUUGAGUAAUAGGGUGUCUUUAUAAAUUUUGGAGAUUAAACCCUUGUCAGUUGAUUCAUUUGCAAAGAUUUUCUCCCAUUCUGUGGGUUGUCUUCAUUUUGUUUAGGGUUUCUUUUGCUGUGCAGAAACUUUUAAGUUUAAUUAAGUCCCAUUUGUUUAUUUUUGUUUUUACUGUCAUUACUAUAAGAGGUGGAUCUGAGAAGAUGUUGCUGUCAUUUAUGUCAGAGAGUGUUUGGCCUAUGUUUUCCUCUAAGAGUUUGAUAGUAUCUGGUCUUAUAUCUAGGUCUUUAAUAUACUUUGAGUUUAUAUUUGUGUAUGGUGUUAGGGAGUGUUCUAAUUUCAUACUUUUCCAUGUGGCUGUCCAGUUUUCCCAGCACCACUUAUUGAACAAGCUGUCUUUUUUCCAUUGUAUAUUCUUGCCUCCUUUGUCAUAGAUUAGCUGACUGUAGGUGCAUGGGUUUAAUUCUGGGCUUUCUAUCCUGUUGCACUGAUCUAUAUGUCUGUCUUUGUGCCAGUACCAUGCAGUUUUGAUGACUGUUGCUUUGUAGUAUAGUCUGAAGUCAGGGAGCCUUAUGCCUCCAGCUCCAUUUUUCUUUUUCAGGAUGUCUUUGGAUAUUCAGGAUUUUUAAAAUAUUUAGUUCAAGUUCUGUGAAAAAUGUCCUUGGUAAUUUGAUAGGGAUUGCAUUGAAUCUGUAGAUUGCCUUGGGUAGUAUAGCCAUUUUGAUAAUAUUAACUCUUCCAAUCCACGAGCAUGGUAUGUCUUUCCAUCUAUUUGUGUCAUCUGUGGUUUCUUUCAUCAGUGGCUUAUACUUUUAGUACAAGUCUUUUGUCUCUUUAGGUAGGUUUACUCCUAGGUACUUUAUUCUUUUGGAUGCAGUAGUAAACGGGACUGCUUCCCUAAUUUUUCUUUCUGAUCUUUCGUUGUUAGUAUAAAGAAAUGCAGUUGAUUUCUGUGUAUUAAUUUCGUAUCCUGUGAUUUUGCCAAAUUCAUUGAUGAGCUCUAACAGUUUUCUGGUGGAGUCUUUAGGAUUCUCUAGGUAUAAUAUCAUGUCAUCUGCAAACAGUGAUAGUUUUACUUCUUCCUUUCCUAUUUGGACUCCUUUUAUUUCUUUUCUUCUCUGUUGUGGCUAGGACUUCCAAAACUAUGUUGAGUAGUAGUGGUGAGAGUGGACAUCCUUGUCUUGUUCCUGAUCUCAGCGGGGAAUCUUUCAGCUUUUCACCACUGAGAAUGAAGUUGGCUGUGGGUUUGUCAUAUAUGGUCUUUAUUAUGUUGAGGUAGGUUCCUGCUAUGCCCACUUUCUGAAGGGCUCUUUAUCAGAAACGGGUGUUGGAUUUUGUCAAAGGCUUUUUUCUGCAUCUGUUGAGAGGAUCACAUGGUUUUUAUUCUUCAUUUUGUUAAUGUGGUGUCUCACACUGAUUGAUUUGCGGAUAUUGAAGAUUUCUCGCAUCCCUGGGAUAAAUCCCACUUGAUCAUGAUGUACAAUCCUUUUAAUGCAUUGUUGGAUUAGAUUUGCUAGUAUUUUGUUGAGGAUGUUUGCAUCAUUGUUCAUCAGUGAAAUUGGCCUGUAGUUUUCUUUUUUUGUGGUAUCUUUAUCUGGUUUUGGUCUUAGGGUGAUGGUAGAAUGAGUUUGGGAGUGUCCCUUCCUCUGUAAUUUUUUGGAAUAUUUUCAGGAUAGGUGUUAGCUCUUCUCUAAAUGUUUGAUAGAAUUUGACUGUGAAGACUCCUAGAAUGAGUUUGGGAGUGUCCUUUCCUCUGUAAUUUUUUGGAAUAUUUUCAGGAUAGGUGUUAGCUCUUCACUAAAUGUUUGAUAGAAUUUGACUGUGAAGCCAUGUGGUCCUGGACUUUUGUUUGUUGGAAGUUUCUUAAUCACAGUUUCAAUUUCAGUGCUUGUGUUGGCCUGUUCAUCUUUUCUAUUUCAUCUUGGUUUAGUCUUGGAAGAUUGUACUUUUCUAAGAAUUUGUACAUUUCUUCUAGGUUUUCCAUUUUAUUGCUAUAUAGUCACAUAUAGUAGGCUCUUAUGAUUAUUUGUAUUUCUGUGAUGUCCAUUGUUACUUCUUCUUUGUCAUUUCUAAUUUUAUUGAUUUGAGUCUUCUCUCUUUUUUUCUUGAUAAGUCUGGCUAAGGGUUUAUCAAUUUUGUUGAUCUUUUCAAGGAACCACCUUUUCAUUUCAAUGAUUUUUUCCUAUGGUUUUCUUUGUUUCUAUUUCAUUGAUUUCUGCUCUGAUCUUUAUGAUUUCUUUCUUUGUACUAACUUUAGGUCUUGUCUGUUCUCUCUUGAGCUGCUUUAGAUGUAAAGUUAGCUUGUUUAUUAGAGCUUUUUCUUGUUUCUUGAGGUGGGCUUGUAUUGCUAUAAACUUUCCUCUUAGAACUGCUUUUGCUGCAUCCCAUAGGUUUUGGAGUGUUUUAUCUUUGCUGUCAUUGGCUUCUAAGUAUUUUUUAAUUUCCUCUUUGAUUUCUUCUGUGAUCCAUAGGUUGUGUAGUAGCAUGUUGUUUAGUCUCCAUCUGUUUGUGUUUUUUGCAGUUUUUAUCUUGUUGAUUUGCAGUUGUAUAGUGUUGUGGUCGGAAAAGAUGCUUGAUAUGAUUUCAAUUUUCUUAAAGUUACCAAGGCUGGAUUUGUAGCCCAGGAUGUGAUCAGUCUUAGAGAAUGUGCUAUGUGCACUUGAGAAGAAUGCACAUUCUGUUGCUUUUGGAUGGAAUGUGCUAUAAAUAUCUAUUAAGUCCAUCUGGUUUAAUGCUUCAUUCAGGGCUUGUGUUUCUUUAUUGAUUUUCUGUCUGGAUGAUCUGUCCAUUGCUGUAAGUGGGGUGGUAAAGUCCCCCACUAUGAUUGUGUUAUUGUCUAUUUGUCCUUUUAAGGUUGUUAGCAGUUGCCUUAUAUACUGAUGUGAUCCUAUGUUGGGUUCAUAGAUAUUUAAAAUUGUUAUAUCUUCUUCUUGAAUUGAUCCUUUGAUCAUUAGGUAGUGACCUUCCUUGUCUCUUAAAAUACUCUUCAUUUUAAAGUCUAUUUUGUCUGAUAUGAGUAUUGCUACUCCAGUUUUCUUUUGAUUCCCAUUUGCAUGGAAUAUUUUCUUCCAUCCUCUUACUUUCAAUUUGUGUAUGUCCCUUGAAGUGAAGUGGGUCUCUUGAAGACAGCAUAUAUAUAUGGGUCUUGUUUUUGUAACCAUUCAGCCAGUCUAUGUCUUUUGGUUGGGGCAUUUAGUCUAUUAACACUUAAGGUAAUUAUUGAUAUGUAUGUUCUUAUUGCCAUUUUAUUAAUUGCCUUGGAUUUGUUUUUGUUGCUCCUUUUUCUUCUCUUCUUCUCUUGUUCUCUCCUCUUUUGGUUUUAUGACUAUCUUUAGUGUUGUAUUUGAGUUGAUUUGUCUUAUUUGUUUGUGUAUCAAUUGUAGAUUUUCGGUUUGCAGUUACUCUGACGUUUUGAUAUGAGUCUAUAUAUAUAUGAAAUUGUUUUAAGUUGUUGGUGUCUUAAUUGCAUGUGCAUCUCCAGUGUCCUGCAUUUGUACCCUCAUCUUCUCACGAUUUGUGAUUUUAGUGGCAUAAUUGUGCAUGAAUGAUUUCCUACCUUUACUGUAUAUAUGCCAUUACUGGUGAGCCGUGUCAUUUGUGGUAUUUUUGUUUCUGGUUGCAGCCUUUUCUUCUCUGCCUAGAGAAGUUCCUUUAGUGUUUGUUGUAAAGCUGGUUUAGUGUUGCUGAAUUCUCUUAGCUCUUGUUUAUCUGUGAAGGUUUUGAUUUCUCCUUCAAACCUGAAUGAGAGCCUUGCUGGGUAAAGCAAUCUUGGUUGGAGGCUUUCAUCACAUGAAGUAUAUCAUGCCACUCCCCUCUGGCCUGCUGAGUUUCUGCUGAAAAACCUGCCAAAAACCUUAUCAGGGUUCCCUUGUAUGUUAUUUGUUUCUUUUUGCUAGCUGCUUUCAAUAUUUUCUCUUUCUCUUUAAUUUUGGUCAUUUUGAUUUUUAUGUGUCUUGGGGUGUUCCUUCUUGGGUUUAUUAUAUAUGAUACUCAUGCUUCCUGGAUUUGAGUGAGUGGUUCCUUUCCCAUGUUAGGGAAGUUUUUGGCUAUUAUCUCUUGGAAUAUUUUUUCUGUCCCCUUCUCUCUCUCUCUUCUCCUUCUGGCACCUGUAUAAUAUGGAUGUUGGUGCAUUUAACGUUGUUCCAGAUUCUCUGAGACUCUCUUCAUUUGUUUUCAAUCUUUUUUCUCUUUUCUGUUCCACAUCUGUAAUAUCCUAAUCUGUCCUCCACCUCGCUUAUUUGUUCUUCUGCCUCCUGUAUUCUGCUGUUGGUUGCUUCUAGUGAAUUUUUGAUUUCAGUUAUUGUAUUUUGCAUCUCUUCUUGUUUAAGUUUUAUAUCUCGUAUUUCUUUGCCCAGUGUUUCAUGUAAAUUAUCCAUCUUUGCCUCCAGUUUUUUCCAAUGUCUUACAUCAUCUUCAGCAUCAACAGUCUAAAGUCUUUAUCCUGGAGGCUGAGAAUCUCCUGAUCACUUAGCUGCUUUUUGGGGGGUUUUUCUUUCUCCCUUAUCUGAGUUAUAGUUCUCUGUCUUUUCAUUUUUAUAGGUUUUUAGUUAGAUGACCUUUUUACAGAUAAUAGAGUUGUAGCCUCUCUUACUUCUGGUGUAUGCUCCCCUUGCGGCUGAAGAUGGUACCAGGGCUUGCUGUAGGCUUCCUGAUGGGAGAGACUGACGCCUGCCCACUGGUAGGUGCAGCUGAUUCCUAUCCCUCUGGUGGGUGGAGUUUUGUCUCUGGGUGUGAUUAGAGGUGGCUGUGUGCCUGGGGGGUCUUUAGGCAGCCUGUUUACUGAUGGGUGGGUCUGUGAUCCCACCUGGAUUGUUGUUUGGCCUGGGGCUUCUCAGCUUUGAUGGGUGGGGCCAGAUUUUUCCCAAAAUCGUCACCUACAGAGAAAGGCACACUGCUGAAUAUUCCCAAGAGCUUUGCUACCAAUGUCCUCCCGCACAGCAAGCCACAUUCACCCCUGUUUUCCCAGGAUGUCCUCCAAGAACUGCAGUCAGGUUUGACCCAGAUUCCUAUAGAGACUUUGCUUUGGACCCAGUGCACAUGAAAGUCUGUGCGCACCUUUUAAGAAUGCGGUCUCCGUUUCCUCCAGUCCUGUGGAUGUCCUGCACAGAAGCCCCACUGGCCUUUAGUGCCAGAUGCUCCAGGGGCUCUUUCUCCCAGUGCCAGAUCCCCACACGUGGGAGUUUGAUGUGGGGCUCAGAACUCUCACUCCUGUAGGUGAGUCUCUAUGAACCAGUUACUUUCCAAUCUGUGGGGCCUCCCCCCCCCACCCCUAGGAGGUAUAUGGUUACUUAUAUCAUGUAAUCACCCCUCCUACAGCUUGAUGUGGCCUCCUCUUUGUCUUCUGGAGUAGGAUAUCUUUUUGAAAGGUUCUGGUCCAUUUUGUUGAAGAUUGCUCAGCAUUUAGUUGUAAAUUUUGUUGUUUUUAGGAGAGAAGUUGAGCUCCAUUCCUUCUAUUCUGCCAUCUUAAUCCCAUCCUCCUAAACAGGAUUUAAAAAAAAAUUCUUUCUGGGAGUUCCCAUCAUGGCUUGCAAUGGAAGCUAAUCUGACUAGGAACCAUGAGACUGGGUUUAAUCCCUGGCCUCAGUCAGCAUGGCUGUGAGCUGAGGUGUAGGUCACAGACUCUUCUUGGAUGUGAUGUUGCUAUGGUUGUGGCAUAGGCUGGCAGCCUAGCCCCGAUUCAAACCCUAGUCUGGGAACCUCCAUAUUCUGUGGAUGUGGCCCUAAAAAGGGAAAAAAAAUAAAAUUGUCUUUAAUAUUUCAAUGUUAGUAUAAAUAAAUGCAAUAAAGUUCUGUAUAUUAACCUUGUAUCCUGCUACUUUGCUGAAUUCAUUUUUUUCAGUUCUAAUAGUUUUUGUAUGGAGUUUUUAAGGUUUUUGUGUAUAUCAUAUCAUCUCAUGUCCAUAUAAUGACAAUUUUACCUCUUCCCUUCAAUUUGGGUAUCCUUUCUUUUUCUUUUUCUGAUUGCUGUGGGUAGGAUUUCCAGUACUAUGUUGAAGAGAAGUAGUAAGAGUAGGCAUCCUUGUCUUGGCCCAGAUUUUAGUGGAAGGUUUUCAGUUUUUCAUCACUGAGUAUUAUUUUGGCUGUGGAUUUAUAAUAAAUAGCUUUUAUUAUGUUUAGAUGUGUUCCCUCUUUACCCACUUUGGUGAGUUUUGAUCAUGAAUGGAUGUUGUAUUUUGUAAUAUGCUUUUUCUGUAUCUUUUGAAAUGAUCACAUGGUUUUUGUCAUUGCUUUUGUUGGUGUCAUGUAUCACAUUGAUUUGUGUAUGUUGGUAAUUCUUAUGAUGCUGGGGUGAAUCCAAGUUGAUCAUGCUGUAGGAUCCUUUUAAUGUGCUGUUGGAUUUGGUUUGUUGAUAUUUUGUUGAGGAUUUUUUCAUCUAUACUCAUCAAAGAUAUUGUCCUCUAAUUGUAUCUGCGUGUGUGUGUCUGUGUGUCUUUGUUUGGUAUUGGUAUCAGAGUAAUGGUGGCUUCAUAGAAUGACUUUGAGAGUGCUCCUUCCUCUUCAGUCUUUUGUAAACGUUUGAGAAGGAUCAACAUAAGUUUUUCUUUGAAGGAAUUCCCCCAGGGAAUCC
rnacentral:lncRNA from 1 species